rnacentral:rRNA from 1 species
AUUGAACGCUGGCGGCAGGCUUAACACAUGCAAGUCGAGCGGAGAUGAGGUGCUUGCACCUUAUCUUAGCGGCGGACGGGUGAGUAAUGCUUAGGAAUCUGCCUAUUAGUGGGGGACAACAUUCCGAAAGGAAUGCUAAUACCGCAUACGUCCUACGGGAGAAAGCAGGGGAUCUUCGGACCUUGCGCUAAUAGAUGAGCCUAAGUCGGAUUAGCUAGUUGGUGGGGUAAAGGCCUACCAAGGCGACGAUCUGUAGCGGGUCUGAGAGGAUGAUCCGCCACACUGGGACUGAGACACGGCCCAGACUCCUACGGGAGGCAGCAGUGGGGAAUAUUGGACAAUGGGGGGAACCCCGAUCCAGCCAUGCCGCGUGUGUGAGAAGGCCUUAUGGUUGUAAAGCACUUUAAGCGAGGAGGAGGCUACUGAGACUAAUACUCUUGGAUAGUGGACGUUACUCGCAGAAUAGGCACCGGCUAACUCUGUGCCAGCCGCCGCCGUAAGAC